ACACUCCUUCCGGUGUCCCUGAUUACCUUCCGGGUUUUGGGUUUGGGUACCACCCCCUGAACCACUAGGGUUUAGUUGAGACAGGGUGGCUGAUAUUGUGGCAGUAAUGGCUGCCUGAAGUGUUUCCAGAUCGAUUUGAAUAGGAGGUGGUGGCGGCGGAGGGUUGUUGGUCUUUGAGCUGGGCCGUUUCCUUGGAGGCAUCUUGAUCUAGAAUAACCAGGAAAGAGAGGAUCAUAAGUCCUAUGAAUUUAAUCAAGAGAUACGGAACAGGGGAUAUCUCAUUAAGACAGAUAUUCUAUUAAGCGAUAAAACAGGAAGGAGUUAUCAAAGCAGAUAAUUUAUCGCUAAAGGAAUGAUCAAGGAACAACGCUUGAACAAGGACUUCUACAACGGAUCGGCUCGAGAAAUACUCCCAUAGUAUUUCAUGGUUCGCUGCAACGAUGGCUCGUUGUUUGGGGUAUUGGGUAAGUUUUAGGUAUGCUGCGUACCACAGUCACUGCCAAGCACAUGUUGGCCGUGUCUCGAAUGAAUAUAGUUGGCCAGGCUAUAUUGAUCCUAGACACGGCUACAUAACUGCCCAGGUUUAACCGCAGCGUACAACACCCAUUUACUUAUAUUUUGUUCUACUUGUAGUUACGGAUUUCGACGGUUCGGUAUACUUGUAUACUUUAGAAAAUACUUAUAUUUGUAGAGUAUACUUUUAGUUCAGAGCACUUAGGCCCCUUAAUGUUUAUAGUCUUAUACCAUGUAAGCUUUGGUAUACUAGUUCACUAUAAACAAGGGCUCUGAUACCAAUCUGUCACACCCCGAAAACCAAAGGCGGAAACAUUUCCGGGGUUGACUCCACGUUGAGUAUCAAAUCCAAUGCACAUAGUAAAACAGUAAACACAAAACAUUACAUUACAUAAUAUUGUUUACAUCUGUUUGAAAGAAAAGUUAUACAAGUGUUAUAUACAUAUAUCAUNAAUAUGAACAAAAGUAAAGACGAGUCUUCGGAACGCUCUGUCUUCUCCAAAAGGUGGCGGUGUACCUGUCUAACGCUGACCUGAGAAUACAAGCAGUUUGAAAAUCAGCAUAAAGCUGGUGAGUUCAUAAGCGGUUUAGUUUUGAAAAGAGCGAGUUUCCUUUGCUUUCUGAAAAAGUUGUUGUUCAAGAAAAUCCCAUAUUUUCUUAUGAAAACAGUUUAGUUAUCUUUUGUUACAAAUUCGAAAACGGUUUGUUAUAUCAUUGCAGGAAAAUCCCAUAUUUUCCUAAUAGUUUAGUUAUUCGUUUGUUACUUUAUUCGUAUAUGAGUGGUUAUGCUACCCAAGGAAAAUCCCAUAUUUUCCUAUGUGAUGUGUUGUCUAUUCGUUUCUAAUUUCGUUACUAGUUGCUAUGUUAUUUCAGGAAAAUCCCAUAUUUUCCUAUGUGUUGAGAUUGGUUUUUAAGUUUGAUUUCGAAGUACUAAUGAUUACCAUACUUGCAGUAUUAGUUAAGUAUUCUAAACUCUUAGUUAUCCUACAUUCGAAUGUCUAUCAUCUACUAACUUAGUUGUAUUUUCGAAUAUUUGGAUUCACUAGAAACGUACAUUACAGUAUUUUCGAUUAUUCUGAUGAUUUCCAAAACAAUACAUUAGUUGUAUUUUCGUAUCUCUGGCGACAUUCUAAGGCGGAUGUAUUCGAAACUCAAUAGAGGUCCGGAGGCGUACUUUCGUAUUAAAUUCGAAACUCUGGUGACAUUCAAGGCAUACACUAACUGUAUAUUCGAAGUCUUGGUGUCAUCGAAAGGCGUUAAUUCGCAUUCGUAGUCCUAUUUCUAUUCCUAUUCGUAUUCGUUCUAUCCUAUUAGUUAUAUUCGUAUUCGCAUUUGUAUUCGUAUUCGUAUUCGUACUAACCUAAUAGUUAUAUUCGUACUCAUAUUCGUAUUCGUAUUUGUACUAUCCUAUUGGUUAUAUUCAUAUUCGUAUUCAUAUUCGUAUUCGUACUAUACUAUUGGUUAUAUUCGUAUUCGUAUUUGUACUAUCCUAUUGGUUAUAUUCGUAUUCGCAUUCGUAUUCGUUUAGUAUUAAUCUUAGUUAUGAUUAGUAUGAUUUCUUUUACAAAAACUAAUAUAGUUUAGAACACUUUUUAAAGAAAUCUGACUUUAGUCUAACUGUUUACCCUGCAAUUCGAACCAUUAGUUAACACAAAUUUUGAAAUUAGAAACAUACAUAAAAUGAAACAUUGAACUGAAAAUAAGUUUAAGUACAAGGUUUCCUUAUACUUUUGCUUGUAUUCCCCCCCUGAAAACAUUUGAAAAACAUUUGAAAAAGGGUAGGGGUAUGAACUCACCGGUUGAGAAACGCGUCAGUUUGGAUCCUAAACGUCAGUUCUGGGUUCGCGAACGCACAAGAUUCCUAUGGAUUAUGAAAUGAUACACAUUUGUAUCUAAUUAGGACUUGAUUAAUUUAUUUGUUAAGGACAUACACUUCUAGUUGCGGAAACACCCCAUUACAAGUGUUUGGAAGGACCCGGGUGGCAUUUAAGGACUUGUAUGACUAGGGAAUGGAGUUUACUCUUCAAGAGUAAACUCCUUAAGGAGUUUACUGCCCUAAAUACCUCAUCCACAUGAGUUCACGGCCGUGAACUCAUGGAGGGUGCUUUUGGAUGCAAAAUGGUUUCAAAAUACAAGGAUAAUUUAGCUAGGAAUUUAUCUAGGGCAUUAGGAUGAAUUUAGACUUAAUUAAAUACCAUUUAUUGGAGUUUACGGCAGUAAACAUGGAGUUUACGGCCGUAAACGCCCCCCCUCACAUCCAAUCCUUAAUGUUUUGGUCCUUAAACAAUCACAUGUGAUUCCAAUGAUUUUUCCCAAGCCUUGUAUGGAUUUUAGGGGACUUUUGGCAUGAUUCUUGGAGUUUACAGCCCAUGAACCCCCUCAUGGCCGCGGACUCCUUAGAUGGAUGUUUUAUUAUGUUUUAAGGUCCAAUUCUUGUUUGUGGACAUUUCUAGAAUUUAUCCCAAGGCUUAAGGUGUGUUUAAGUGGCAUCUUAACACAUUUAGAGGAGUUUACUCCCCAAGAAUAUGAGUUUACGGCCCAAGCAUGUUCUUGGGCAGUAAACUCAAGUUUACUCCUCUAAAUUGAUGUUCAAGGUGUUCCAAGGCCAAAUCCAUAAUUCUACAAGUCGUAUCUAAGCCUUAUUGGUGUUUUGGAAGGGUUUAAGGGCUUAAAAACCCCUUUUAUAUGUGUUUACAACCCGAGCAUGCUCCAGGGCCGUAAACACAUGAACAAGGCUCUAAAUCAUUGUCUAAUGCAUUCUAACUCCAUUCCAUUAAGUCAUCUAGCUAUAUCUAAGGUCUAAUUGUGGUCUGGAAGGGUUUUGUUGCUCAAAAACCCCAUUUAUAUGAGUUUACGGCCUAGGACUGUUCUAGGGCCGUAAACUCAUGAUAAUGGUCCUAAUCCAUGGUUUAAAGUCGAAUUUGAAGGCUAGAGGGGUUGUAUAACAAGUUAGGGAAGGUACCUUGGUGAUUAGAAGCCUUAAACUUGAGGUUUUGGACCCUUAAACUUGGAUUUAGGAGAGAGGUUAGAGAGAGAGUAGAGAGAUGAAGCAAAAGCUUCAAAUGAAAGCCUGAACACGUUUAAAUAGGUCCCAAAACUUGGAAACGGUGAAUUUCUACCCGAUAAUGGCAUUAAACGGGGCUUUUGAUCGCACCCGAUUAAGUUUUCGUAACCCGGCGGGGACGUUUCUAAAAUUUCUGAAAUAAACAUUUUGGGCUAAUUUUAUGAGUUCCUAAGGGGUUUGGACACUCAUUAGUAUUAAAUAAACAUAUAAGUUUAAAUAAUUUAGCCCAAAAACGAGAUCAGAACGAAUUGAUAAACGGCAAAUUUUAUGGGCGGAACGAGUCUCAGCGAUGGAAAACUUUGGGUGGUUACAUUAUCCCCCCGUUAGAGGGAAUUUCGUCCCGAAAUUCAAAGAUUAAGAUACCGAACAUGAACUGGAAUGAGAUACGGAUGGAUUCGCUGCUCUGAGUUUUCACGCUCCCUAUUGGAAUCGGGUCUCCGCUUGACGUUCCAGUGAACCCUCAAUAUCGGGACGCGUCUUGGUUUCGUUGGGUAGAUACUUCUUAAGGACCGAGACGUGAAGUAUCAGAUGGGUGUUACUAAGUUCCAAGGGUAACUGGAUUUUGAAGGUUACAGAAUCGUUCCUACAAGUAUCGCGAAGGGUCUAAUGUUACUAGGUUACAGGUUUCUAUAGGUAUCUCUGGUGCUGACUAGUUCCCUAUCGUCUUAGCUUUUGGAAAGGUCCACGGGUAUCAUGGCCUUGCUUAUCUAUAUAUCCAAGGAAGAUGGUUGAUCAAAGGGCACCACUACGAACUCGUGGUGAUCAUGCCAGGUCCUGGUCGCUGCCUUGUACACAUCAUUCUUACUGAGGUUUGGCUGCGAGGUAGUUCCAGGGAUUAGGUCGAUACUAGACUUGACUAGACGAUCGGAAGGAAUUCUCGAGAUUGUUCGGGAAAGGCAUCGGGGAAAGAGUUGCAGACUUUUCGUUUCCCGAAUAUCACACGGAUGAGGAAUGCAUGGGAAACUUUCUAAGCUUUGAUGCACGAAUUUAUGCGAAGGUUGGAUUUAGGUUUGAUGCCGAAGAUCAUGAGAGUCGGGUCAGAGGAAAGAUUCGGAUGGACGCCCCUUUCGAAAACAAGAAUAACAACAUGAAUGAGACUCAGUCAUUACAUGCCAAUGAUUGUAUCAAAGCUUUUCACGAAUAGAUUACCAUUAAAUCGAAUGGAAAGGAAUAAUCAUCCGAAUUGAGGAUACGAUCUAAGGGUAUGACGUUAACGUUCUCUUCCUCACUGGUUGGUCAUCUCAACGUUACACAUUUCAAUUACUAAUGAACGAUUAAGUAGAAAGAUAUUUGAAUGAAUGGUUAGCAAAUUCUUUCAGCAUUAGAAUCGAAAAGGAUCACAGGCACAAGAUUCAUCGAGGAGAAGUAUACCUGUGGCAACGGUGGGGUCGGUGGCUGUCCUUUCUUGUCCCAUAGUUAAGACUCUCCUGGUGUUGCCAGAUAUUACUACCUUAGGACAUUUUCGUCUAUAAUGCCCGACCUCUCCACAACUGUAGCAGGUUUGACCGAUACCAGCUCCAGAAGCUUGACUAGUUGAUUGGGUUGGGGUUUUGCAGCUUCGUGCAAGGUCACCUUCCUGGCUACAGCUUUUACAAAACUUUGCACGACAGGGGCCAGGGAUGCGAUGGUGGUAGCUAUAUCGGUUACACCACGGUAGGAUACCGGCAUAUCCGGUGAUAGGUGCUUGAGCUGAGGAACCUACAACAGAUUCAACAACAGGGGUAGUGGCAGCGUGGACUGUCACUAUAUGCUGUUUCUUCGAGGGUUCUGGGGAAGAAUGACUCUUCUUCUUCUUUUUCCAAAACUUUCUUUUCUCGCCACUCUUUUCUGUUGGCUCGGGAGUGGUUUCUGCUUCUUCUUGGUCAUCAUUGUGAUCGAUCAGGGUUUGAGCUAGACAUUUGGCGCUGUCAUAGGUAUCCGGCUUCGUAGAUAAAACGUUCCCUUUUGUUGGUUGGGUUAAUCCCUAGAUGAACCUCUCAAUCUUUUUGCUCUCCGAGGUAACUACCCCGGACAAAGCAGUGAUAAGUCAUCAAAUCUGGAUGUGUAGGUGGCGAUAUCGGAACCCUUCAUCUUUAGGUUCCAGAGUUCAUGCUCCAGCUUCUGGAUUUCACCCCGAGGGCAAUACUCUGCACGCCAAAGUUCCUUCACAACUUCCCAUCCCAUAGCAUUGGCUACAGGUAGAGUCAGGGAUUUGACUCGGCCGUUCCACCAAGUCAAAGCUUUAUCGGUGAGCGUACAGGCGGCAAAUUUUACUUUGUCGGAUUCCGAACAGGCACAAAUCUCGAAGAUAGAUUCGAUCUUUUCUAACCAUCGAGUUAGAACAAUGACACCCCCUGUGCCAUCAAAGAACGUGGGUUUUGUGUUCAUAAAGUCUUUAUAGGAACACUCCUUCCGGUGUCCCUGAUUACCUUCCGGGUUUUGGGUUUGGGUACCACCCCCUGAACCACUAGGGUUUAGUUGAGACAGGGUGGCUGAUAUUGUGGCAGUAAUGGCUGCCUGAAGUGUUUCCAGAUCGAUUUGAAUAGGAGGUGGUGGCGGCGGAGGGUUGUUGGUCUUUGAGCUGGGUCUUUUCCUCGGAGGC
rnacentral:lncRNA from 1 species